GAUGAACGCUGGCGGCGUGCCUAAUACAUGCAAGUCGAGCGAAUGGAUUAAGAGCUUGCUCUUAUGAAGUUAGCGGCGGACGGGUGAGUAACACGUGGGUAACCUGCCCAUAAGACUGGGAUAACUCCGGGAAACCGGGGCUAAUACCGGAUAACAUUUUGAACCGCAUGGUUCGAAAUUGAAAGGCGGCUUCGGCUGUCACUUCUGGAUGGAACCGCGUCGCAUUAGCUAGUUGGUGAGGUAACGGCUCACCAAGGCAACGAUGCGUAGCCGACCUGAGAGGGUGAUCGGCCACACUGGGACUGAGACACGGCCCAGACUCCUACGGGAGGCAGCAGUAGGGAAUCUUCCGCAAUGGACGAAAGUCUGACGGAGCAACGCCGCGUGAGUGAUGAAGGCUUUCGGGUCGUAAAACUCUGUUGUUAGGGAAGAACAAGUGCUAGUUGAAUAAGCUGGCACCUUGACGGUACCUUACCAGAAAGCCACGGCUAACUACGUGCCAGCAGCCGCAGUAA
rnacentral:rRNA from 1 species